rnacentral:rRNA from 1 species
CACCAGCCCCUCGAGUGGUGGGGAUGAUUAUUUGGCCUAAAGCGUCCGUAGCCGGCCGGGUAAGUUUCCCGUUAAAUCCAAUGUCUCAAGCAUUGGACUGCGGGAAAUACUGCCUGGCUAGAGAGUGGGAGAGGUGUACGGUAUUCUGGGGGUAGGGGCGAAAUCCUUUGAUCCCCGGAGGACCACCAGUGGCGAAGGCUGUACACUAGAACACGUCUGACGGUCAGGGACGAAAGCUGGGGUAGCGAACCGGAUUAGAUACCCGGGUAUUCCCAGCUGUAAACGAUGCAUGCUAGGUGUUGGGUUGGCCACGAGCCACCCCAGUGCCGCAGGGAAGCCGUUAAGCAUGCCGCCUGGGAAGUACGAUCGCAAGAUUGAAACUUAAAGGAAUUGGCGGGGGAGCACCACCAGGCGUGAAGCCUGCGGUUU